UAAGCGGGAAACUCACCUCAAAACUAGUUCUUCCUAUAGAGCCGUGGUAGACCACCACGUUGAUAGGCUGGAUGUGGAAGCGCAGUAAUGCGUGCAGCUUACCAGUACUAAUAGCUCAAUUGGCUUGAUUUAUG
rnacentral:rRNA from 1 species